AACGAACGCUGGCGGCAUGCCUAACACAUGCAAGUCGUGCGAGAAAGUUCCUUCGGGAGCGAGUAAAGCGGCGCACGGGUGAGUAACACGUAGGUAACCUGCCCCCCAGUCUGGAACAACUAGAGGAAACUCUAGCUAAUGCCGGAUGAGACCACGAUCCCUUCGGGGGUUGCGGCCAAAGAUGGCCUCUACUUGUAAGCUAUCGCUGAGGGAUGGGCCUGCGGGCCAUUAGCUUGUUGGUGAGGUAACGGCUCACCAAGGCUGUGAUGGCUAGCUGGUCUGAGAGGAUGACCAGCCACACUGGGACUGAGACACGGCCCAGACUCCUACGGGAGGCAGCAGUGGGGAAUAUUGCGCAAUGGGCGAAAGCCUGACGCAGCGACGCCGCGUGGGUGAUGAAGGCCU
rnacentral:rRNA from 1 species